GUGAGGUUUGCGCCCUCCUGUCAUACAGCACAUCGUGGACAAGUCUGCGGAGCUUAAGGCUCCUUCAAACAGUGUGGACAGUGCCGCUUGAAGCCGGUGUUCUCUGAAUGACUGAAGCCAGCCGCCACUCACAACUACACUGCCAGAGGGAUGGAAGAUGGAGAGACAUGGCGGACCAGAGAAAAGAAGCACAGAAGGAGAAGACAAGGACAAAGUCAAAGUUCAAGCGGCAUCUGUCCAGGAUCACCCAGAAAAGUAAGGGGAAUUAUAAAGUUAGCCUUGGACUGUCGACUUAAGUUGCUAACAUUACUGUUAGCUUGCUGUCAUCAAUAUUCUGAUGAAUAAGGGGUUGAAUGCAACAGAGCCGGGAAUCCCUGAAUCUGUCAAUCAUUAACU